UACAGAGGGUGCGAGCGUUGUCCGGAAUCACUGGGCGUAAAGGGCGCGUAGGUGGCCCGACAAGUCAGUGGUGAAAGCUCGACGCUCAACGUCGAGUCGGCCACUGAUACUGUUGGGCUGGAGCACUGUAGAGGCUAAUGGAAUUCCGGGUGUAGCGGUGGAAUGCGUAGAGAUCCGGAAGAACACCGGUGGCGAAGGCGAUUAGCUGGGCAGUUGCUGACACUGAGGCGCGACAGCGUGGGGAGCAAACAGG
rnacentral:rRNA from 2 species